UGGGGAAUCUUCCGCAAUGGACGAAAGUCUGACGGAGCAACGCCGCGUGAGUGAAGACGGCCUUCGGGUUGUAAAGCUCUGUGAUCCGGGACGAAAGAGCCUGAGGUAAAUAGCCUAAGGAAGUGACGGUACCGGAAAAGCAAGCCACGGCUAACUACGUGCCAGCAGCCGCGGUAAUACGUAGGUGGCAAGUGUUGUCCGGAAUUAUUGGGCGUAAAGCGCGCGCAGGCGGCUUACUAAGUCCAUCUUAAAAGUGCGGGGCUUAACCCCGUGAUGGGAUGGAAACUGGAAAGCUGGAGUAUCGGAGAGGAAAGUGGAAUUCCUAGUGUAGCGGUGAAAUGCGUAGAGAUUAGGAAGAACACCGGUGGCGAAGGCGACUUUCUGGACGAAAACUGACGCUGAGGCGCGAAAGCGUGGGGAGCAAACAGG
rnacentral:rRNA from 1 species